ACUGAAAUUGCUGGGUCAUAUGCUAAGUGUAUAUUUAAUUUAUAAGAAAUUGCCCAAUUGUUUUCCAAAGUGGCUGUACCAUUUUUCACUCCCACCAGCACU
rnacentral:pre_miRNA from 1 species